rnacentral:sRNA from 1 species
AUUGAACUCAGGCCCUCUGGAAGAGCAGUCAAUGCUCUUAACCGCUGAGCCAUCUCUCCAGCCUGUCCCCUCUACUUUGAAGAUUCAAAAGUUUUAAGAUUGAUUAAUGGAGUACUGAUAAGCUGAUAAAGCACUGAUAACUAUUACCAAUCAAAAGAUGGAGAUUUUUAGAUUUCCUUUGCUCGUCGUCUCAGUAGACUUACCGGUGCUUGUCAUCAGUGCUGAAGCUCUGUCCAGCUCCUGGGACAGAGGACAGCUGUCAGGCUUUUUAACCCCAAGCUUUUGCUGUGACUCAGAGCUGUCACACCUGUUAGCUGUUCUUGUGACAAUGUGUUCUUCAGGACAGAUUACAAACUUAAAACUCCCAUGUCUUCUCGUAAACAGAAAAAGUCAUGUAAGCCCUGGGGAAUCUACAAAGUCAUAAGACUGGGGUCCACCUCUCACAGUCAGACAGACUCCAGGUAAGUAUAGCGUAAGUCUCCCCACCUGCCUACUCUUGAGGGUAGGACCUCCCCUUCCCCACAACCAGGACUGAAAAUUCCCACGUGUAUGAUUUUCAUUUAAGUUCCUAAACUUUAACCUCUGUCCCUAGUCUGUAUCUAUCUCAGCAGAUCUCCUCUCAGCUGACAGCAUCCAGAAAUCAGCUGCUGAUAAACUGCUCCAAAUGGCUGUGAGCCCUGGGCCUGCUGAGGCUGGUCCAGCCGAUGUGAUUCUCCUGGUCUCUUCAGCUAAGUCAGUGAACCAGAUGCUUCUGAUGAACGCUUUACUGCCUGAAUGCCCUCCCAGCCUUUGACUAGCAUUUUUGGCCCUGACUAUAAUGUUCUAAUUUCAGCAGAAAGUAGUUACAGACAAGAGCAUGUUACCUCUUAUCCUCUGCAAAAGAAAAACUCCUUGGCAGAGAGGACAAAAUGACUACCUAAAAUGCCUAUUGGCAUAACAGGAAAUGUCUUAGGGUUUUACUGCUGUGAACAGACCAUGACCAAGGUCCAGCAGAUACAGAAGAGCAGAUGGGAGACCCGGCCUUGUGGGAUGGAGUAACUACUGGAUUCCUGGACUUUCCAUCCACAGCUGGCUGUUGUUGGACGAGCUCGACUGCAACCUGUGAGUCAUUCCAACGAAUUCCCUUUACACGUAUAAUGGAAUCCUCACCUCUGUGACUCUAGAGAACCCCGUUCCAGCUGUCCUCAAACUUAGACCAGGCUGGCCUUGAACUUAUUCAUCUACUUGCUGGGAUUGAUGUUGUGCACCACAGUGGCAUGGCUUAGUCAUGGUGUUUAAUCACAGCAACAGAAAAGUAACUAGGAAGUUGGUAGCUGGGUGGUGGCAGUGUAUGCUUUUAGUCCCAGCAUUUGGGAGGAAGGCAGAGGCAGGCAGCUCUCUGAGAUCUCUGAGGCUGGUCUACAGAACAAAUUCCAGGACAGCCAUGGCCACACAGUGAAACUCUGUCUUGAAAAAACAAAACAAAACAGCCACAAAAAAAAAAAAAAAAAGAAGAAGAAGAAGAAGAAGAAGUUAGAACUAGAGUGUGGGCUGUUGCUGUAAUAGACCUGACCUUGUUUUUUUGAAGAGCGUGGAAGACUUAGUAAUUCCGGACUAAAGGUAGCAGUUGACCCCUUGACCCCUGAAAGAAAGUAUAAAGAUCACCGUAGUCCAGCGAGCAAUGUGGGCUGUGACGGCCCAGCUCCAAAGGUCUCAGAGGGAACAGCAGUGGCGACUAGGCAGGCGUCAUCCCUGGACGGCUUUGGCAGAGGAUGUGCUUGCCUUCUGCCCUUGUCUGGAGAACUUGCCUGAGUCUAAACUUAAAAGCAGAGGUUAACAUUUCUUUGGUGGAGGAAUUCCAAACAUAUGUUGAGUCUAUGGUUAUUGUUGCCAAUGCUUAUGUAGGUCUUCAAUGAGAAGGGGCAAUGAGACAGAAACAAACAUAACAUGUAUAUAUUGAAGAGAAGGAAAAGACCCUGGAGGCUUAGUAUUACACAGAAGGCUGGAACUGAGAUCAGCACCAGGAAGGACAGGCCUGCUCUGCCCAAGAGAACAAAGGGAAUGAGGUCCCCCAAGCAAAUCCACCCAGGUAAGCUCUCUUUCUGCAAGGCAAAGGUAGCCUGUGGCAGGGGAAUUCCUGUUUGAAGUCCUUAAUUCACUGUGUGAAGCUGUGAAAGUGAAGUCUGGGCUGCACUGAAAAUUCCAAGCUAUGGGAGAUGCCAGAUUCAUGGGACACCCGCCAAGGAGCGCCGCACACAGGAAAUGAAACCAUCCUGAGUUCUGUGCUGCAGGGCAGCGAGGCUGGACACACAGAGCCAUCUCAGCCACUGACAUCAGACAUAGAACUACACACAGGCUUUAGAGCUCACGUGUUGCUUUUGGUCUUUUAGUCGUUUUUCACCAAGCCCCCAUUCCUUCUUUUUGGAAUGGUAAUAUAUUCUGUGCCACUGUAUGUGAGAACUGUGUAAUUUGCCUUUUGAUUUUACAGGCGAUUACAAUUAAGAGAUUGUUUUGAGUCUCAGAAGCGUCUGUGGGCUUUUGAGCAGUGUUGAGACUGAGAAAGACUAUGGGAACUUUUGAUCUGAAUGUAGACUGCAGUUUGCUAUGGUUAUGGAGUCAAGUGGAAUGUGGUGGUUUGAAUGACAAUGGCUUUUUUUUUUUCUUUUUUUCGGAGCUGGGGACCGAACCCAGGGUCUUGCGCUUGCUAGGCAAGUGCUCUACCACUGAGCCAAAUCCCCAACCCCGACAAUGGCUUCUUAAAAGAUGUUUGAGCAUUUGGUCCCUGAUUCCGGGUGCUGUUUGGGUAGGCUCAGGAGGCUGUCUUUCUGGAAGCAUGUCACUACUUCCUGCUUAUUAAGGGUGCUGAGUUCCUGGGGGCAAGUUUGAUCUUCACAGUCAGGAUAUCUAAUUUCUUCUUUGCACACAACUACUUAAGAAACCACAACCAACAGCAAACAAAGCACCAGCCUACCAACCAACCAUCUACCCCUCUGAGGCCCUAGCACUUACACCCCCUCUGAAAAGCCCCCAGAAUUCAAAACCCACACAACUGCAGACACUAUCUGUAGCUGGCAAAAAUGAUGCUUCUGCCAGAACAUGAGGCAAAUCAUAGUCGGCCCCUGUGGCUGGUCGGACGCACACCCCUGAAGCACAGUCUGAAGCAACCCUAUACCUCGGAUUAAAAUGAAAACAUACUCUUGUAGUAUUUCUGCCUUUCGUUUUGCUUUUCUAAAGAAGCCGAGUUCUCACUGGUGUUGAGUGACAGUUCACUGCAGCCCUAGGUGUCCUAUUUGUUUCUACGUCUGAUACUCACCUAGCUUACUGCUGACUUCUGCUCUGACAGCGCUGCCAUGGACUGAUUCCUGUGCUGUGAAUGCAUUUGUCUGCUCCAGCUGCUUUCUUUGCAAAUCCCUUAAUUUUUUUUUUUAAGAACUCUUAACUGCUGAGUCAUUUUUCCUAUCCCUUGCUCUAUAUCCUUUUUAAAA